GAGUUUGAUCGUGGCUCAGGACGAACGCUGGCGGCGUGCUUAACACAUGCAAGUCGAGCGGUAAGGCCUCUUCGGGGGUACACGAGCGGCGAACGGGUGAGUAACACGUGGGUGACCUGCCCUCAGCUCUGGGAUAAGCCUGGGAAACUGGGUCUAAUACCGGAUAUGACCACAUGUUGCAUGGUGUGUGGUGGAAAGUUUUUUCGGCUGGGGAUGGGCCCGCGGCCUAUCAGCUUGUUGGUGGGGUGAUGGCCUACCAAGGCGACGACGGGUAGCCGGCCUGAGAGGGCGACCGGCCACACUGGGACUGAGACACGGCCCAGACUCCUACGGGAGGCAGCAGUGGGGAAUAUUGCGCAAUGGGCGGAAGCCUGACGCAGCGACGCCGCGUGGGGGAUGACGGCC
rnacentral:rRNA from 1 species